UACGUAGGGGGCAAGCGUUGUCCGGAAUCAUUGGGCGUAAAGCGCGUGUAGGCGGUUCGGUAAGUCUGCUGUGAAAGUCCAGGGCUCAACCCUGGGAUGCCGGUGGAUACUGUCGGACUAGAGUACGGAAGAGGCGAGUGGAAUUCCCGGUGUAGCGGUGAAAUGCGUAGAUAUCGGAAGGAACAUCAGUGGCGAAAGCGACUUCCUGGACCAAUACUGACGCUCAUGUGCGAAAGCGUGGGGAGCAAACAGG
rnacentral:rRNA from 1 species